UUUCGAAUCAUUCACAAUGGGCGAAAGCCUGAUGGUGCGACGCCGCGUGAGGGAUGAAGGCCUUCGGGUUGUAAACCUCUGUCACUGGGGAAGAAACGCUUCAAGUUAACAGCUUGAAGCCUGACUUAACCCAGAGAGGAAGCAGUGGCUAACUCUGUGCCAGCAGCCGCGGUAAUACAGAGACUGCAAGCGUUAUUCGGAUUCACUGGGCGUAAAGGGUGCGCAGGCGGCCGUGUGUGUUAGGUGUGAA
rnacentral:rRNA from 1 species